rnacentral:rRNA from 1 species
GACGAACGCUGGCGGCGUGCUUAACACAUGCAAGUCGAACGCAGUGGCGAACGGGUGAGUAACGCGUAAUCAACCUGCCCUUCAGAGGGGUACAACAGUUGGAAACUACUGCUAAUACCGUAUACUGAAGGAUGGUAUUUCGUCUGAUUAGCUAGUUGGAGGGGUAACGGCCCACCAAGGCGAUGCUCAGUAGCCGGUCUGAGAGGAGGACCGGCCACAUUGGGACUGAGACACGGCCCAGACUCCUACGGGAGGCAGCAGUGGGGAAUCUGCCGCAAUGGACGAAAGUCUGACGGAGCAACGCCGCGUGAGUGAUGACGGCCUUCGGGUUGUAAAGCUCUGUUGAUCGGGACGCGGUACCGGAAUAGAAAGCCACGGCUAACUACGUGCCAGCCGCCGCGGUAAUUC